AAUCACAUCCACGUGCAUCUCACACCUCUUGCACUUACGCCAAGUCGUAUCACGACGCAGACGCUUCCAUCAUGAAUACGUUGACGAUCGUGUUGGUGGCGGCAUUCGCUGUAGUCGCGAGCGGAAUGAAAGACGGCCAUCCCAAUGACCAGGAGUUCCACCACACUCUUCAUGAAGCUAAAACGAUGUGCAUGGAUAUUAUGAUGCCAUCC